rnacentral:rRNA from 1 species
GACGAACGCUGGCGGCGUGCUUAACACAUGCAAGUCGAACGGAAAGGCCCUGCUUUUGUGGGGUGCUCGAGUGGCGAACGGGUGAGUAACACGUGAGUAACCUGCCCUUGACUUUGGGAUAAAUUCAGGAAACUGGGGCUAAUACCGGAUAGGAGCUCCUGCUGCACGGUGGGGGUUGGAAAGUUUCGGCGGUUAGGGAUGGACUCGCGGCUUAGCAGCUUGUUGGUGGGGUAGUGGCUUACCAAGGCUUUGACGGGUAGCCGGCCUGAGCGGGUGACCGGCCACAUUUCGUAUGGGAGGCGGCCCAGGCUCCUACGGGAGGCAGCAGUGGAGAAUAUUGCACAAUGGGCGGGAGCCUGAUGCAGCACCGCGGCGUGCGAGAUGACGGCCUUCGGGUUGUAAACCGCUUUCGCCUGUGACGAAGCGUGUGUGGCUGUAAUGGGUAAAGGAGCCCCCGCUCUCUACG